CAGAAUUUUGUUCAAUAAACUACUUCAGUUAGAUCUACCACGAAGUGUUAUAAAUUGGAUUAUUGAUUUCUUAAGUAACAGAUUCCAAAGAAUCAAACUUUCACAAGGAUGUUUUUCAGAUUGGGGUGCAGUACCUUCGGGCGUCCCUCAAGGCACCAUUUUAGGUCCAUGGCUCUUUUUAAUCCUGAUAAAUGAUUUAUCUAUCACAGAUACUGACUUAUGGGAAUAUGUGGACGAUACGACAGUAUCGGAAACAGUUGACAAAAACCAACAGAGUAGAGCACAGACAAUUGCUAAUGAGAUGUCACAAUGUUCCCAAAACAAUAAAAUGAAGCUGAAUGAAGAGAAAUGUAAGGAGCUCCGUAUUUCCUUCUCAAAAGUCCCUCGUGAUUUUAACCCGAUACUUAUUAACAAUAAAAGUAUUAGAGUCGUAAAAUCCGUUAAACUUCUGGGCUUGUCAUUCGAUAAUAACCUGACGUGGAAUCUACAUAUCGAAGAGGUAGUUAAAAAAGUAUCCAAACGAAUCUAUUACCUGAUCCAACUCAAACGGGCCGGUAUUCCUUGGAACAAUCUGGUUCUAUUUUAUUUUACAUGUAUUCGAUCUGUUAUCGACUAUGGUAUCCCUGUCAUUUACUAUUCGUUGCCAAAAUACUUGCGUUCCGAAUUGGAAAGAUUACAAAAAAGAGCUAUUA